rnacentral:rRNA from 1 species
UACGUAGGGUGCAAGCGUUAAUCGGAAUUACUGGGCGUAAAGCGUGCGCAGGCGGUUGUGUAAGACAGAUGUGAAAUCCCCGGGCUCAACCUGGGAACUGCAUCUGUGACUGCAUCGCUGGAGUGCGGCAGAGGAGACUGGAAUUCCUGGUGUAGCAGUGAAAUGCGUAGAUAUCAGGAGGAACACCGAUGGCGAAGGCAGGUCUCUGGGCUGACACUGACGCUCAUGCACGAAAGCGUGGGGAGCAAACAGG